GGCCGGUUAGCUCAGUUGGUUAGAGCACAGCCUUAUAACCUCAAGGUCAUGGGUUCAGAUCCCCAUACCGGCCA